GGCCAGGUGGCGGAGUGGUAACGCAUGCGAGACAAAUACAGGGCCUGCAAUGUUUCCUUGCAAGGUCUCCAUUCGAUUCGGGGUCUGGCCU